rnacentral:lncRNA from 1 species
CAACAUUAGAGGCAAUGAUCAACCAAUGACCCAAAUGGGUCUACAAAGAUAAUGAUUCAGAAUAAGGGUAACAUACAACCACAGAAAACACAUCAUCGCUCAGCUGGAGCGCUUUGCAGAGGAUGAGACCAUGUUCCUCCAAAGGUAACGCCCACUGGCCAUGUCCACGAAGGUCCAGAACCCAGAUUCUAUUGCAGCCCUAACCUGAAUCCCCAAAUCUAGGGUUAAUACAGAGAACCCAAAAAAACAAAAAGACAUAUAUAUAUGAAAAUUGAAGCAAAAGGGUGAAAUGGGUCAACCUUGGAAUUUCCAUUUGAAGAAUCCUUUGAAGAAUCUGCAACUUUGGGGUUCGCCAGAAGGGUAGAAACAGCGUCGUCACCGUCGUCAACCAAAGGCUGAGCUCGGAGGUUUCUAAGAACGAAGAAACCGGUGAGAGUUGCAGACAAGAAAACCAGAAUGAUCCUCAGAGGACACAUGGUUGAUGGUUCCUUCUUUUUUUGGGUUUUUCUCAAUCCCCCUUGUUGAGAAUGUGAUUGAGAAAUGUGAGUUUGCAGAAACCCAGAAAUCAAUGAGAGAUUAACAUUGAUAAAUGACAAUGCCCUUCAAUUUUAAAGUGAUUUUGUUCAAAUUAUUGAAAUAAAAAAUGACUUUGAGGAGGCUUAGUGGGCACCCACUAGAAAAAGAAAAGCUACAUGUGGUUGGUGGCUUCCUUCAAAUGAAAAUUUAGUCAAAUUCUUCAUAAUGUUUAUGAUACUUAAAGUUGUUGGUUGCCAUAGCCACAAAGUUUGACAAUGAAAAUGAAUAUAUUAUGCCAACUAAUGUUUCCUAUGACUUACAGAUAAUUUUUUUUAGCACAAAUUAACAAAUUUCUUGUUUAAAUUUAUUUUUUAAUGAUGGUGAUAGGGAGAGAUUUUAAUUUACACCUGAGUCCUGAACUGAAGCUAACAUUUUUUUUGGGUAUUAUUUGCAAUUGCUGGAUAUUCAUCCCUCAUUUAGUUAAAUAAAAUCCGUUGAGCCUGCCUAUAAAUGGUUGUUCAAGAUAGGAGUUGAGAGCUUCAAGCAGCACCACAUCCCUAGGAGCACUAGAAUAGGUAGCAUGAGUCAAAGCAAGACUUCAUCCUCUCAAUCCAGCAAUGAGAAAAGAAAGGUCUUUGUCCCAAAAGAACAGAAGUAGCAUUUCCCUUCCGCUGGACAUGCACUUCAUCUUAAAUAGUAGCACCAAUCUCUAAGGCUUGAAACAAUAGACCGAAACGAUGUAGCAUGGUGAACUUUUAUUGCAGCUGUUGAUUUCAAUUUAAAUUAGAUGGACGGUUCAGAUUUUAAAAUUUGACCUUGCCAACUUUUCAAGAAAAUUGAGAGGUCCCAUAUACCUCACUGUGACAUUGGCACGACCAACCCUAGCCUCAAGGUGGGGGGGGGGGGGAGUGCAGUCAAUGAUAUAAUCAUUUGAAGAAACCCAUAAACCGAAAUGAAAUGGAUUAUAUAUUUCACAUAGAGAACUAACAACAUCUGGCGUAACAAAAGGUAUUACAAGGCAAGUCCAAUCAAGAAUUAGCUAUGACACUAACAAGAAGUCAAUGAUAUAAUCAUUUGAAGAAACCCAUAAACCGAAAUGAAAUGGAUUAUAUAUUUCACAAAGAGAACUAACAACAAUCUGGCUUAACAAAAGGUAUUAAAAGGCAAGUCCAAUCAAGAAUUAGCUAUGACACUAACAAGAAGUCAAUGAUAUAAUCAUUUGAAGAAACCCAUAAACCGAAAUGAAAUGGAUUAUAUAUUUCACAUAGAGAACUAACUACAAUCUGGCUUAACAAAAGGUAUUAAAAGGAAAGUCCAAUCAAGAAUUAGCUAUGACACUAACAAGGGGGAGCAUAUCUCAUUUUUAAUGUUUCACAACUUUGGAACCUCAACAGCCUUCAUAAUCAAGACAAGUUUCCAUACUUGUUUGAGACAAUCAGUGCUAGAAGAAAAAAACAUUGACAUGCCAUUGCUUCCUAGAGGUGCAUAAACUAGAUAGACCACCAGGAACUUAGAACGAUUAUUUGAAAGUUGCAUCAUUCACUAAUGUAUGAGUCAUAUAUGUAGGACAAUAGAUCCAAUUACCAUAAUGUGUCAAAUAUGAUACUCGUAAAAAAUUAGCCUCAGAUAAUAUUUUACAUUAGAGUCUAACCAUGCUUUACAAUUCACUUGGCUAAUAUCUGAGACAUGGGAUAUAAGAGAAUCAAGGUAAGACAAGCUAAAGACUAAAAAAUAUUGACAUUUUGGAAAUUUAGACUCUAUUUGUCAGUUUAUUUUUAAUUUCUUGGUUGUUUUCAGCUAAAGAAAUAUUUUCAUGGUCCCUGGUCCAAGAUCUCGAUUUCAAAUGGAUAUAAUGACCCAUGUUUGGAUGCUUUUUUAAAAACAGAGUAUUCUCAUCUGACAAAAGAUAGUGCAGAAAACUAAUUUUGUCAAAAAAAGUUGAUACCUGCUUCUGAUUCUAGCAAAUAGAGCAAAAGUAUCAUGGCAUUUAUCAAAUAUAAUUUGACUAAGAUACACCUAAUAUUGUGGAGUUGAGACCUAACUAAUCACACUCAUAUCCCCUUCAUAAAAAGUGAGUUUGGCUAAUCAUAUCAAACAAACAACUAACUGCACUUUGAAGCAACUACCUCAAACAAAAGUGAGUUUGGCUAAUAUCAUCAAACAAAACAUGAAGCUAAUAUAUACUAGAUGAAUUCUUCCAUAUCAAUUGUGAGAAAGCUAACUCUCUCUAAAUACAAUUUAUUUUAGAAAUUUCAAGCACAUUCUAAAUUUUGUAGAUAGUUUAAAUUUUCACUGGAUCAAAUCUAUUCCAAAUUCUUGUAGAAUAAGUUUUGGAAGUUUACUUUAACAAAUAUAAUGACGUUUUGAAGCAGCUACCACAUACCAGUUUGUUGAAGAAUUUAAGAACCUAUGAUUCUAAGCUUAUUUAGCCAUCUACAGAUUUACUAUGGACAGUUUCCUUCUCCAUACUUCAUCAAAAGUUCCAUUUUCUGAAACCAAUUUGUUCUUCCUUAAUACCUUACAAACUAUCAAUAUCCCAACAUACAUCUUUCAACAUGCUAUUUUUAGACCACCGAACAACCACCAACUUGGUCCCUUAUCAUUAUCAUAUUAUUACUAGUGAACCAUAUACUACAAAGUAUAAGUGUACAACAGUACAUUCAGUAACCAUUAAAUCCACCAAUUUUCCACCAUUAUUCUAUCCUAAGAUCCUAGUCUAUUCUUCCGAUGUUAUAUUCUGCUUCCAUGAUGGUCCCAAAUAAGCUUUAACCAUAAAAAAUGCAACAAGUCACUAUUAGGCUACUCCUGCAUCAAUAUCAGAUGCUUAGUGUUUCUAAACAAUCACAAAUCCUACAACUCAAUCUCGCUGAAUCCAUCAAGAUAAGAGCAUUAUUACUAACAACAUGCUAAGAAGUAACAAACUUGCAAAAGAAAAAUGUACCCCCUAAAGAACAGUACAUUUGAUUAAGCUAAUAGAAAAUCAAAUUAAUGUGCUACACCUGCCAAAAUCUUCCAUACCAAUGGAAAAACUACAAUUUUGUUUACAAUUCUACAUGAAAACAAGAAGCAACUAGCAAUCCAGAAUAGAAACAGCAAAAGGGCACACUUCACAUGAUGUAAUGGCAAGAAAAUAAGCAUUAUAUAGUUAUUAUCUUUAUUGUCAUUUAUGAGUUUCAGGCUUUCAACAUUCAAAACCAGCACCAAACACAACAAUUCUAUGAACAACAACUAUGAUACAACGAGUCGAAAUAGACCCUAAAGUUACAACAUUAGAGGCAAUGAUCAACCAAUGACCCAAAUGGGUCUACAAAGAUAAUGAUUCAGAAUAAGAGUAACAUAUAACCACAAAAAACACAUCAUCGCUCAGCUGGAGCGCUUUGCGGAGGAUGAGACCAUGUUCCUCCAAAGGUAACGCCCACUGGCCAUGUCCACGAAGGUCCAGAACCCAGAUUCUAUUGCAGCCCUA